rnacentral:rRNA from 1 species
AGAGUUUGAUUAUGGCUCAGGAUGAACGCUGACAGAAUGCUUAACACAUGCAAGUCUAUGAGAAGACUUCCUUCGGGAAGAGGAAUCAUGGCGGACGGGUGAGUAACGCGUAAAGAACUUGCCGUAUGGAUGGGGAUAACCGAUGGAAACGACGGAUAAGACCGAAUAUAAUGAGAGAUAGGCAUCUAUCUUUUAUGAAAUAAUAAAUUUGCCAUACGAGAGCUUUGCGUCCUAUUAGUUAGUUGGUGAGGUAAUGGCUCACCAAGACGAUGAUAGGUAGCCGGCCUGAGAGGGUGGACGGCCACAAGGGGACUGAGAUACGGCCCUUACUCUUACGGGAGGCAGCAGUGGGGAAUAUUGGACAAUGGAGGAAACUCUGAUCCAGCAAUUCUGUGUGCACGAAGAAGGUUUUCGGAUCGUAAAGUGCUUUAAGUUGGGAAGAAGUAAGUGACUGUACCAACAGAAUAAGCGACGGCUAAAUACGUGCCAGCAGCCGCGGUAAUACGUAUGUCGCAAGCGUUAUCCGGAAUUAUUGGGCAUAAAGGGCAUCUAGGCGGGAUAUCAAGUCGACGGUGAAAACUAGUGGCUCAACCAUUAGCUGGCCGACGAAACUGGAAUUCUAGAGUGUUGGAAAGGUGGGCGGAACUACAUGAGUAGAGGUGAAAUUCGUAGAUAUAUGUAGGAAUGCCGAUGACGAAGGUAGCUCACUGGACAACAACUGACGCUGAAGUGCGAAAGCUAGGGGAGCAAACAGGAUUAGAUACCCUGGUAGUCCUAGCUGUAAACGAUGUUCACUGGGUGUGGGCAAGUAGAUUGUCUGUGCCGAAGCAAAUGCGAUAAGUGAACCGCCUGGGGAGUACGGCCGCAAGGCUGAAACUCAAAGGAAUUGACGGGGACCCGCACAAGCGGUGGAGCAUGUGGUUUAAUUCGACGCAACGCGA